AUGAACGCUGGCGGCAUGUCUAAGGCAUGCAAGUCGAACGAAUUGCUUUUCUUCGGAAGAUCAGUUAGUGGCAAACGGGAGAGGAACACAUUGAUAACUUACCUCGAAGUCGUGAACAACCAUUAGAAAUGAUGGCUAAUACACGAUAUUGAUGAAGAGUCCACGGACUCAUCAUUGAAAGGUCCGCCGCUUCGAGAAAGGUCUAUGUCCUAUCAGCUAGUUGGCGAGGUAAAAGCUCACCAAGGCGACGACGGGUACCGGGCGUGAGAGCGUGGCCCGGCUCACUGGGACUGAGAUACUGCCCAGACACCUACGGGUGGCUGCAGUCAAGAAUCUUCCACAAUGGACGAAAGUCUGAUGGAGCAAUGCCGCGUGGUGGAUGAAGGCCUUCGGGUCGUAAACACCUUUUAUAAGGGGCGAACAAAUGACGGUACCUUAUGAAUAAGGGGCUGCUAAUCACGU
rnacentral:rRNA from 1 species